AAGAAGUGCCAACCUCCAUUUUGGAAGAAGAAGUUAUUGAAGCUUCUUCUAGUCGUUCAGAUAAAUCUUAUGAACCCAGUGAAAAUGAAACAAGUUCAAGUGAAAAUGAAAAUGAAGUAGUAGAAGAGCUACAAAAUAACACUCCAAUGCAAACCCCUUCACGGAUACGCAGAAAGAGACGUCAUGUAGAUCAAAAGGAAUGGAAGAAAAAUAGAAAUAAGAUUUUGAGACAAGAAGGAAAGGAAUAUUUUGGAAAACAAAAGCAAGAAGAAAAAUGGAAUUAUGAUAUUUAAAAAAAAGCAAAAGCUAUAGGACCGAGAUGAAAAUGCAGUGGUAAAUCAGUAAUGAAUAAUGGGAAAUCAGUAAUGAAGUGCAAUGAGAUAACAGAAGAUCAAAGAACAGAAAUUUUUACAAGAUUUUGGAAUUUUUUGUGGAACGAAAAACAAUUGUUUCUAAGGACGCUGGUUGAAAAGAAAAGUACUUCAAGAGCUAGGGAUCGAAAAAUAGAGAACGAGUCAAGAAGGGAAUUUUCCUAUAUAUAUUUUCUUCAAACAACAUCCAAGAUAAGAGUGUGCAAAACAAUGUUUUGCAAUACUCUUUCAGUUGCACCAAGAACUGUUGCACAUUGGUUGAUUGAAAAAAAUAAAUCACAACACACUGCAAAUGAUUUGGUGGAUUAUGACCUUAAUGAUACGCGUGAUAAUAAUUCCUCCCAAAUAGUUAUUCCUAGAAAAGCGAAAAUCGACAAACAAAAAGAAAAUUUUUGCAAUUUCUUUACAGUUCUUCCAAAACUAGAGUCACAUUAUUGUCGAAAGAGCACAAAGAAAUUAUACCUUGAAAGAUCUUGGCAAACAAAAAUGGAAUUAUACCGGUUUUAUAAGAAUGACUGGUGUACAAAAAACGAUUCACAACCGCUAUCUAUUGCAGCAUUUAAUAACAGUUUCGACGAUUUUAAUUUAGCACUUUUUUCACCUAAAAAGGACGAAUGUGAUACGUGUGUGGGUUACAAGACUGGUAAUAUUGACGAAGCUACCUAUCAAGAACAUCAGAAGAAAAAGGAGGAGGCACGAAAGGAAAAAGAGGUUGACAAAACAAAAGAAGAUGUAAAAGUUUUUUCAAUGGAUUUGCAAUCAGUUCUACUGAGUCCAAAAUCUAAUGUCAGCGCUCUAUAUUAUAAAACAAAAUUAAUAGUCCAUAAUUUUACAAUUAUGGACAUUAAAUCCUUGGAUGGAUAUUGUUUCCUCUGGCAUGAGGGUCAUGCUGGACUAACUGCCAACACAUUUGCUACCAUCAUUUACAAGUUUUUAGAGACUAAUAUUAUACCCCAAAAAAACUCUACUAGUAAAGUCAUUUUGUACAGUGAUGGCUGCACUGGACAAAACAGAAAUGCAAUUCUUGCCAAUGCACUUUUCAACUUUGCACAAAAGCAUGGGAUUACAAUUGAGCAAAAAUUUUUAGAAAAAGGGCAUACGCAAAUGGAGUGCGAUUCAAUGCACUCCACAAUCGAGCGAAAACUAAAAAACCGAGUCAUAAAUGUCCCAGCAGACUAUGUCAAUAUUUGUCAAACUGCUCGUAUAAAUCCGAAACCCUACGUGGUGGAGUACUUGGAUCAUACAUAUUUCAAAAACUUUCAAGAAGUUCAAUACAUUAGUUCCAUCCGUCCUGGUAGAUCGUCAGGUGAUCCUACUGUAACAAACAUUAGAGCACUUCAGUAUAAUGAACACGGAAUUCUCUUUAAAAUCAGGCAUACAGAAGAAUGGAUGCCUUUGCCUUACAGAAUCACGAAAAAAGAUAAAAAAAUCUGGAAUUUAGAAGAGUUGCCGUUAAUGUAUCCGACUCCAAUACCAAUUAAAUCGGAAAAAUUUCAACACUUAAUGGACCUUAAAUCGUCAAUUCCUAAGGACUUUCAUUUUUUUUAUGAUAACUUACCACAUUUGUAAAAUGCCUCUUUCUUUUUGUCUUUUGUCUUGUGUUGCCGUCUUUAAAUUUUUUUUAUACUUAAGUUGCACAAUUAAUUAGAUUAUUGCCUAUCUCCUGAUGCCAACCCAUGCUCAGGGAACGCAUAUUACCUAACUCCCAAUUUUUCAAGAAUAAAGCCUAUUUUUGACAAGAGCAAGUAUUUUCUAUGUUGUAGCAUUAAACAAAAUAAAAUAUUUUGGAAACUUAGGCCGACGAUAAAGGUAUAAGUACACUGCGCGUCAUUAAAAAGAGGCCACCUAAAAUUUUUGGCAUUUUUUAAUUUUUACAAAUCAUACCAGAAAGUGAUUGUCAUUAGAUGUUUGUGUAAUAUUUAAGAAUAUGUUCUAAAGCAGUAUGCAAUCAUUUUUUAAAUAAAAAAUGUCAAAAAAAGUAACUUUUUCCAAAAGAAUGAUUUUAUUGAAAAAUAAAAGAAAUUAACAUUGUACAUUUUUUCUGUUUUAUUUAUAAAAAUUACAAUUAACUCGUGAUUAUUAAUACUGUGUAUUACCACCUCUAUUGUGAAUUACACUCCUCAUUCGAUUUGGCAUUGAAUUAAUCAAAUUCUGGAUGUCGUUUUGAGGAAAAGCUUCCCAUUCUUCCAUGAGCGCCAACCGAAGCUGCUCACGAUUUAUUGGAGCAGGUAUUCUGUUUCUUACCCUUCGUUUGAGUUGGUCAGAAACAUGUUCAAUCGGGUUCAAAUCUGGAAUUUGAGCCGGAAAGUUCAUUUUUGGCACACCCACAGUUUCCAGGUAUUGCGAUACCAUCCUGGCUACGUGUGGCCGCGCGUUGUCUUGCAUAAAAAUAAACUUUUCGCCGACAAACCCAGCAAAAGGCAUUACAUGCUCAUCUAAAAUUUCGGUAAUGUAUCGGUGAGCAUUCAACGCUCCUCUAUCAAUAAAUACGAGAUCAGUACGGCCUUCGAAUGAAAUGCCUGCCCAAAACAUUACCGAACCUCCUCCAAAAGCAACACGUACUCGUCGAACACAAGCAGCAUAUCGUUCCCCACGUCUUCUGUAUGUUUUGAUACGACCAUCUGAGCCAUAAAGAACCAUCCUAGACUCAUCACUAAACAAAACAUUUUUCCAAUAUUCUAUCGUCCAAUGCUCGUGGUCUCUAGCAAACUGUAGUCGGCGUUGUCGAUGUGCUGCUGUUAACAAAGGUCCUGUUGCUGGACAGCGAGCCCUUAGACCAAAUUCCCUCAACGUUCUUCUCACGGUAGAAGUGCGUAAUGUCCAUCCGUGAGCAUUUUGAAAACUUUUUUCGAUUACUCUAGCCGUAAAGAACUGAUUUUGCAAAGAAGUGCGUUGUAAAGAACGGUCUUCUCUGGCCGUCGUGAUUCUUCUCAGGCCUGAUCCUGGUCGUCAUUCGUGAGAUCCAGUCUCUACGAAUCGUUGGUAAGUUUUUUGGACCAUACAACAACUAACUCCAAGCUGUCUGGCCACUUCUCUUUGGCUUAUUCCAUUACCAAUUAAAGUAACAAUUUGAACAGCUCUAGCAAAUUUCUCAGCCAUAGUUUUAAAUUUAAAAAUUGCACAAGUUUACUCUUACAACAACUGUACUCUAGUGAAAGGUUUGUGAAAAACAAAAUAGCCAUAUUUCAAGAAAAAUAAGGUACAAACAACACAUGCAUUAUCCGAAGUCGUAAAACUGAUAUCAAUUUUGCAAACUUAUUACCCUUAAUUGACCUGUCGGCACCGUUUGUCGGUACCUAAAAGACGCUAAAAGUGUUUCUGCAUUGUGGAAAUUUAGUUACAAUAGAAUAAAUUGUAUAAACUUAAAGUUAUUGAAAAAUUCUUACAAAAUUCUAGGUGGCCUCUUUUUCGUGACGCGCAGUGUAUAAUAAUUGCAUUUGUAUCGACAAUUUAGGUUUCAAGGUUAACUGCCUUUUACCUCAUGCGAACGAAAGCGAAAGCGAAUGGCCAAUAAUGUGAUUUUAUAACACAGGUUAUGCUUAUGCGGGAACGAUGGUCGGCCGGCAUUUUUACACACAGGGUUCAUCGUUCCUUAGCGAAGGAAUGACUUUACAGCGUGUAAGUAGGUAUCUUCUAUAUAAAUUCAGCAUUUAAUAAUUUUUAGCAUCAGUUCUUCUACAUUAUUAGCAAGAUGCCAAAACGUAACGGAGUACAAAACAUAAAAGCGAAAAAACAAAAAGUAGAAAAAGUUUCGGUGCUGGAGCAACUGUUGAAUAAACCACAAGCUGUUGACCUGACUCUGGAAAACCAGGAUCUGCUGGACCUUUUUGGACUGUUUGACGUGGAAGCAUCCUCCUCCACUUCACCAAUUCCAGCCACGGCAACUAGAGCCUCAGCAACUCCAGCCGCAGCAACUAGAGCCUCAGCAACUCCAAAUUCAGAAACCUCGGUCUGUUUCAAUUAUAAAAAACAUGGAAAUUACCGACCAACAAAUUAAUGUGAAAUACCAAGAGACCUACUCCAAUUUUCAGGAUUGGGGUCUCCAAUUUGACAAACUGAAAAAAAUGGAGGAUGAAAGAAUUGAGAGAGAAAUCAGAAUAAGGGAAAUAAUUAAAGUUCCAAAGGAGCUGGAGCAAGAGCCAAUAACGUUAAACCAAGAACAACAAAAUUUCGAAAAAAUAUUUAAUUUAGUUCACAAAAAUUUGUUAAAUAUUAAUUUUUAUUUUAAAUAAAUUUAUGUUAUAUA